UAUAUAUAAUUGAAAAUUUAUAAUUUAAUAUUGCUAGUCAAAUGCCUAAUGUCAUAAUGUCUAAGAAUGUAUAUUAUAUAUAUUGAUGUAUAUGAUAAUGUUAAAAAUUAAAAAUAAAUUGCCAUCAGUAUUAAAUAAUUAAAUAAAAAUGGAGGAGAGAGCAAUGCUAUCUCUGGAUGCUUUCUCUUGUUAUGUUUGUUGGAUCUUGUCUUAGAGCUGGAUCACUGCCAUUAAGUUAAAUAAAUUUAUCAGAAGAAGUAAGAUAUAGAAGUGAAGAAGAAUAUUUUAUGUAAUAUAAAAUUAUGUAUGUAUAUAAUAGGUGUAUAUCAGAAUUCAUUGUAUCUUGUAAUUUACGUGCAAUAUGUUUUCCAUAGCACAAGUUACAAUUAGUUUCAAUAUUAGGAGCAGGACUCCUUGUUGGUACUGCGCUAGCGAUUAUACCUGACUGUACCUGAGGGUGUAAGAGCAUUAUUUACUGUGGAUGGUAUUAUUAAUGAAAAAGGCAAUUUACAUACUUUAACUUGGAAUUAGUUUAGUACUUGGUUUAUGCUUUUAAUUGAUCAAUGUUCAGCCAGAAAAAGUGGAGGAAGACAAGAAAAGUAUUACAGCAACCUUAGGUCUUAUAGUAGAUGCUGCUAGUUGAUUGGCGGUGUUGCAUUGGGAGCUGCUGCUACAUCUCAAGCUGAUGUCGAAGUGUCUUAGUUUUUCUUCGCAAUAAUGUUACACAAGGCGCCAGAUGCAUUUGGACUUGUGUCAAUUUCUUCUUCAUGAAGGUGUAGAUAGAAAGUAAGAAAAUAAGCAGACACUUAUUAAUUUUCUCACUUGCGGCACCGUGUCUUGCACUUGUGACAUAUUUUGGAAUUGGAAAAGUAAUGUGAGUGAGUAAUAGUAUAUGGAAUGUAUCGCAAGAUGUGUACACAUACAGUUACACCCCAUAUGCGCACUAUACUUGUUUCUUUUGCUGUAUACAUAUGCGUAUUGUUUAAUAGAAACAUUUAUUAUCUGAAAGGAAAAAAUGUUCCUGCUGAUGCACAAAAGCGUAACGUCAUAUACUGAUAUAUCUAAACACUUAUGAUACUUGCCCUACAGAAUGACAUAAUUUAGAUAAAGGAAAAUACUUAAAUAAAGUGUUAUGCUUGCAGAUAUCCAAACUGUCGAAACGCAAUCUCUGCAAUAUACAAUUGUUGUAUGCAUAUAUGUAUGCAAAACAUAUAAUGGUGCGAGUUGGGAAAAAAAUGCUUUACGAUUUAGAACAGAUACAUUAGAAGCAAUUGUACUAAGCAUUUAACGAAUAAAAUUCAUUUAUAUAUUAUUUAUUUGCCCAAUAUUUCUGUUAUUAAAUUACGUAAUUUUUCCUUAACAGACACCUAUUGUAAUGAAAUAACAUACAGUGCACAAGAUAGUUAAUCAAUAUAUAUUAUAGAGAAACAAUAGAAAAUCCGGGACAUUCAGGACUGCCGCGCAAGACUGCACGCGCCAAUCAGGCGCGAGAACGGACGCGGACGCGCGAAGACUCCCAAUCAGGAGCGAGGACUGCCGUGCGUGCGCGAAGACGUCCAAUCAGGCGCGAGAACUGCCGCGCACGCCGCCAAGACUCCCAAUCAGGCGCGAGGACUGCCGCGGACGCGCGAAGACUGCCAAUCAGGAGCGAGGACUGCCGCGCACGCCGCCAUAACUGCC